GAGCUCGUUUGGGCAACACAUACACUGAAAGUUGGAACAACACGAAGAAGGUUAGCACAGCCCCUGUGCAAGGGUGACAUGCAAAUUUGUGAAGUGUUCCAGUUUGCC